CGGAUAAUAUCUUUGGCCAUCACAUUCCUUAUCUGUGAAAUAGCAAUCAUGAUAACUACCUUCCCAAACUGAUGUGAGCAUCACAUGGAAUCACAUGGAAACCUUAACACAUGCCUCAAGAUUACUAAGCAAGAUUUAUUUUUGGUACACACCAGAAGGAGAAGCAGGUGUUAAUGCCACUGGAACUUUGCCUUGAAGAUUAUUUACAAAAUCUUGCUCCUUCAUGCCCAUCUCAGAACAAACACAAUCUGCAUUCAGAACAGGACCAUUUACAAGUUCAAUGGAGUUAUUUUGGGGAACUCACUAGAAAGCAAUUGAAAUCACUGAGGUUCAAGCAGGAGAAGAAAUUGGAUAAAUACACAAGGAUUUUUUAACUUGGCUCUAUUCAACUUUGUCCCUAUUGACUAAUCUUUGAAGGAAAAAUAGCACCAAACUAAAGAAAGUCAAGUAAGAUUUUCUUUCAAACUGUAUUCAUGCCUUGAUUUAGGAAAUCAUCAGUAUUUUAAUUUGGU